rnacentral:rRNA from 1 species
UACGUAGGUGGCAAGCGUUGUCCGGAAUUACUGGGCGUAAAGCGCGCGCAGGUGGUUCUUUAAGUCUGAUGUGAAAGCCCCCGGCUCAACUGGGGAGGGUCAUUCGAUACUGAUCGACUCGAAGGCAGGAGAGGGUAGUGGAAUUCCCGGUGUAGUGGUGAAAUGCGUAGAUAUCGGGAGGAACACCAGUGGCGAAGGCGACUACCUGGCCUGUUCUUGACGCUGAGGCGCGAAAGCUAGGGGAGCAAACGGG